rnacentral:sRNA from 1 species
AUCUACUUUCUACAGUCUGUGGAGACAGGGACAAUGAAGCCUUUGAAGUGCCAGUCUAUGAAGAGGCCGUGGUGGGACUAGAAUCCCAGUGCCGCCCCCAAGAGUUGGACCAACCACCCCCCUACAGCACUGUUGUGAUACCCCCAGCACCUGAGGAGGAACAACCUAGCCAUCCAGAGGGGUCCAGGAGAGCCGAACUGGAACAGAGGCGAAUGGCCUCAGAGGGGUCUAUGGCCCAGGAAGGAAGCCCUGGAAGAGCUCCAAUCAACCUUCGGCUUCGGGGACCACGGGCUGUGUCCACUGCUCCUGAUCUGCGGAGCUUGGGAGCAGUCCCCAGAUUAGAGCCUCUGACUCCACCCCCUGCCUAUGAUGUCUGCCUUGGUCACCCUGAUGAUGACAGUGUUUUUUAUGAAGACAACUGGGCACCCCCUUAAAUGACUCUCCCAAGAUUUCUCUUCUCUCCACACCAGACCUCUUUCAUUUGACUAACAUUUUCCAGCGCCUACUAUGUGUCACAAACUAUGUUUCUGCCUGGACAUCAUAAAUGGGGACUUGGACCCCGAGGAGAGUCAGGCCACGGUAAGCCCUUCCCAGCUGAGAUAUGGGUGGCAUAAUUUGAGUCUUCUGGCAACAUUUGGUGACCUACCCCAUAUCCAAUAUUUCCAGCGUUAGAU